GAAGGUGAAAUUAGGCAUUAGAGGUCCAUCAUCAUCAUCAUCAUCAUCAUCCGACAACUAUUGUGCCAAAUCAAUAAAUGCAAUGAUUUCUCUACCAAUGUGUCUUAUCUACAGAUGUUUUAAAUCAUGUCUCAAGGUGUCUAUGUGAUUUUAUUUUUGAACCAUUCGUGUUUUUAUGACGUGCAAUUUGUUAAAUGUUUUAUCGAUGCAACACAAUUAACGUGUAUUGAUACCAAAUAUAUUGAUGAUUUGGUAAUCUGUAAAGACAGAUAAUAACUACUUAUGCAGGUGAGUCCCUAGGUGGGUCCCAAACGGUACCCUGUCCCCUAAACGUGUAUUGAUGCCUACGGUUGAACAGGGCCCCUAGGACUCUGGACACAAGUAGUUCCCUACUGUUGAACAGGGCCCCUAGGACUCUGGACACAGUUCCCUACUGUUGAACAGGGCCCCUAGGACUCUGGACACAAGUAGUUCCCUACUGUUGAACAGGGCCCCUAGGACUCUGGAUACAAGUCUUUCCCUACUGUUGAACAGGGCCCCUAGGACUCUGGACACAAGUAGUUCCCUACUGUUGAACAGGGCCCCUAGGACUCUGGAUACAAGUAGUUCCCUACUGUUGAACAGGGCCCCUAGGACUCUGGACACAAGUAGUUCCCUACUGUUGAACAGGGCCCCUAGGACUCUGGACACAAGAAGUUCACUAUAAAGGGACUAGGGUGCUGUUUUGGACACAGUCCUAGACAUGUUUCUAUUAACGUUUUGUACACUGUAUAAACACUCCUACACUAACACAUGAUCGACGGCACAGGAGGCUGGUGAGGGGGGAGGACGGUGCAUAAUAAUGUCUGGAAUGGAAUCAGCCACAUGGAAACCACGUGUUUGCUACCAAUCCCUUAAUUCCGUUCCUGCCAUAACUAUGAGCCUAUCCUCCCCACCAGCCACCUGUGAUGAACAGUAUAACAAUGAUAAUUAUGCAAAAAAGGAAGAAUAAAAUUUAAUACCAACUU